rnacentral:rRNA from 1 species
UACAGAGACCUCAAGCGUUAUCCGGAAUCAUUGGGCGUAAAGCGUGCCGAUAGGUGGUUUUGAAAGUCUUGGGUAAAAGCCAGAAGCUUAACUUCUGCGUUUGCUUAAGAUACUGCAAAACUAGAGGGGCAAAGAGGUGCUUGGAACGAAUGGUGUAGUAGUGAAAUGCGUUGAUAUCAUUCGGAACACCGAAAGCGAAGGCAGAGCACUGGGUGCCACCUGACACUGCUAGGACGAAAGCGUGGGGAGCAAACAGGG